UUGUAGAUAUGUUUUUAGGAAAUAUAGAAAGUGAUAAAUUGUUCUUGGCACCAUAUAAUUCAGGGGCACAUUGGGUGCUAUUUGCAAUCAAUGCGGUCUCUGAAGUUAUAUACUAUUUGGAUCCCGUGCACGGCAAUUACAGCAAUCACCCCGAAAUAAAGACUAUGCUCGACACGUAAUGCCUUAAAAGUUUAUCGAGCUCAAAGAGGUGCUAAAG